UGGAGAGCCAUACACGGAGGGACAGAAUUUCUCCGCAGUUCCGCCGUUGGACUCCGGAACCUGCCAGUCCGAUUUCAUCAGCGCUGAGAAUUCGAUGGUUUUCCGGGUGCAUCUCUCUCUCUCUUAGCAGACAGGGUUUCUCUGUGUAGCCCUGGUUGCCAUCUUGGAACUCUUUCUGUAGACAAGACUGGCCUCAAAGUCCACUUGCUUCUGCUUCCCAAGUGCUGGACUUAAAGAUUGCACAGUGUGACUCCCACCAUCACUUGCUUGCACCCCGACUAUGUAGCUCUCCAUUUCUUCCAAGGCCAAUUAUCCAUCAGUGAAUACAGUCAUUUCCUGGCUGAUUUUCAAUCAAGAUGUAGAACUCUCAGCUCCUUCUCCAGCAUCAUGCCUGCCUUCAUGCUGCCCUGCUUCCUGACACGAUGACAGACUUCUGAAACUGUAAGCCAGCCCCAAUUAAAUGUUUGCCUUUAUAAGAGUUGCUUUGGUCAUGAUGUGUCUUCACAGGAAUAAAACCCAAACUAAGACAACAGCAAAGUAUUUUCUUGGUUAUUACCUGCUGUUUCUGAGUGAGCAAAUUCUGCAUGUCAGAUCUUUGGUAAGAUGUUAGGUCCAGCCCCAACCCCUGUGGGAUGAAUUGCUCUGCUAGCUUGUUGCCCACGGCUUUAGCACACAACAUAGCAGCUGUGGUUAAAAUGGCCAAACAGCAAAGUCCUGAGUCAUUUCCAUGUUCCUGUUUUUAUCCUGAGAAUGUAAACUUGUUUUUCCACUGUGCUUCAGGGGUUUUUCUACCAAGAGCUAAGACUGCAUAUAUAUCUGCCUGGAACCUUGAGUAAACGGCAUUUUCUGAGUACAAAUGUCUCGAGUCUGUAUCUUUCGUUAAAUCCCCCAGGCCUAUGCCCAGUUCUCGGUACUGUGGAUGCUGUCAAGUGUAGGUUCCACUGAGAUUGAGAAAGUGAGGAGCCCCUGACAGGAUUGUUCCAAGAAACCAGCUGGUGAAGUGAAAGGAACGUAUUGGGUGAGCAGCACAGUGGCGAACCAAAAGUAAGUUUAGUUCGCAGUAAGUAAAAGGAUUGUGCCAUUGGAAUCUCAAGUUUCAUAUUACAGCUAACAGAUCAGAUGGUAGCUCUGCUCAAACAGCAGGGAAUAGGGAUAAAUAUAAAAACAGCUAAAGAAUUUAUUAAAACUUUAGAAAAGAAUAGUCCCUGGUUUGUUCAUUCAGGAAGACUUAAUAUUCCUGAUUGGGAACAUAUUAAGGCAGAUUUGCAAAAAUUACUGCAGAGAGAUGGCCCUGAGAGCAUUCCUGUUGCCAUGUUCUCUUUGUGGAGAUUGGUCAAGGAUGCUCUCUUGAGUACCAAUGCUAAAAUAAAGGAACAAAUGUCAGAGAUAGAAAGUACAUCCGGGCAGCACAGGAUGAAGUCUUUACAAACUUCUGACUCAGAACAGGAUUCAAGUUCAGAGGAGGAUGAAGAAGAGACAUUAGAAAAAGAAAUAGAAGAGCUUAAAAGGAAGAGUAAUAAGUGCAGGGUUGCUAAAAACUCAGAAUCUCGUCCUCCUAUUAUUUAAAGAAGAGGGAGCUAUUGGUCCUCCUGCCUAUGAACCCUAUUCUUCCUCAGAGUGGUGUUAUGCAAAGAAGGCUCCAAGGAGAGGGGUAAUUUUUCCUGAGCCUCCCCCUGGACAGGGGGCAGUGUAACCUGUUGUUGAGGUCCCAGACCUCAACAAUGCAGGUCAAUUUAUUAGACAACAUGUUCCUCUGAGUUUCAAGGAGUUGAAAAGCUUGAAAGAAGCAGUCUCUGCUUAUGGUCCCCUUGCUCCCUUUACUUCUGCUAUUUUUGAAUCUUAUGUUACAUCCAAUUUGACUUCUGGAGAUUGGCAACAAGUAUGUAGGGCAGUGCUGUCUGGGGGAGAUUGCCUCAUAUGGAGAGGAGAAUAUUGGGAGCAGUGCGCCCAGAAAGCUCAGAGAGAUGCUGCUGCGGGAUGGGGGUGGGACAUCUUGCAUGAUAUGAGAACAGUGGUUACCACCCAACAAGUGAAGAGGAUGCUGCAUGAACAGGGAUUUGCCCCUGGUGGGGGUUUGGGGAGGUACCUGGCAGGGGACCCUCAACCUGUGUCUGAUGGGACCUAGUUGUUCGAGCCCAUGCAGAUGGGAUGCGAUUGGGAAGUUUGUCAUGGGGGGGUUACUGCUAAGUUGCUUCCUAUCCUGUGUGGGUAGAGCAGUGGCCCCUUUCUUUCUGAAGGAUUAGAGGCAGCACAUGGACUUUUGCAGGAGCGGUUGCAGGCAGGGCACAUUGUUCCCUCCGCUUCUCCCUGGAACGUUUCUUUGUGGUCCUCUUACAUGCAUGGAUGCUGCUCCUCUGAUGUUAAGACAGGGGGUAGCUUUUAAUUCCACUACCUAUUGGAAUACAUCUAUCACCUUUGAUGUUCCCUUAAAUUUGAAAAUGUUUAGUUUAAAUUUAAAUAUCUCUUCCUUCACCUGUGUAAUUCCUCCAUUUUUCCUUGUGGUUUGGAAUGGUACAAAUGCUGGAGAUAGUCUUGACUAUUCUUCACAGGAAUGUCAUCUAUGUGAAGCUGCUGGGGACCAGAGGACUCUGUCCUGGUUGUGCAGAUCCCAGGCAUAGUUCCAUUGCCUGUCAAUAAUUCAAGAAAAAAUCAACUGAUCUUGACCUGUCAUAAGAGAGACUUUGGCAUCACCGCUGCUAUUGGCACCUUCUCCUUGGGCAUUAUUGUUCUUGGAGCUGCUUUUGUGUGUGCAUUUUUUUCUUUGUUGCCUGGGCAGAAAACAAGCCCAGAGCCAAGCUGUCAAUCGACAGAGAAUGUUAUCUUUGGUGGAGACAACCCAUCAGCCCAGAUAUGGCUGAGCAUAUAUAAAAAUUAGGCAGCCAAGGACGGGUAAGACCAUGGGAGUGUCUGGCAACCUAAGACAGGAGUUCCAUGGUGUGCUGCCCAAUGAUGGGUAAGGCAGACACUGACGUCCAGGAGUCACCUAAGAAGGCGCUAAUUUAUAAAUAAAAAAGGGAGAGUUAUUGGGUCCAGCCCCUACCCCUGUGGGAUGAAUUGCUCUGCUAGCUUCUUGCUAGCUGUUUGCAAGGCUGUCGCACACAAUGUAGCAGCUAUGGUUAAAACGGCCAAACAACAAAGUCCUGAGUCAUUUCUGUAUUCCUGUUUUGAAUCCUGAGAAUGUAAACUUGUUUUUCCACUGUGCUUCCAGGGUUUUUCCACCAAGGGCUAAGAUUGUAUAUACUGUGUGAACCUUAGUAAAACUUUGUCAUUCUCUUA